UCGUACUAUCUCUUGAUAGAAACUUUCACAGCACUGCCUGAGGAAAGGGAAAAUCCCAACACACAUGCACGCACGUGAGUACCUUAAGCAUCCUCUCAAAAAUGCUUUCAGAAAGGGACUUACUCUUAAUGCAGAUCACACGGGCUAAAAUCAACCUCUCUGUUAGGCCUAAUUAUAUAAGCGGAGCCAGCUGUCCCCCCCCCAGCUCCUUUAGUUCCUUGAAGGUUACUCUAUCUCCGUGCCUAUCAGGUUGCUGUUGCCAAGGAUUUUACAGCUGUACUCUGAGAAGAUAAUCUAUGGUCAGUCCAUCUCAUCUGUAUGAUCACAGGAGCCCGUCCCAAGAAAGGAUUCCUGGUGGGCCACUUCCUGUUCACAUUGCUGUCUUUCUCACGAGAAUCCACUCUUAAUCCCUGUGCCUUCUUGUAGGCUCUGACAGAUGGUGGCAUCCUACUGGACUCUGACUGAGCAAAGCAAGAAAGAGCCAAUGACAUGAGAUAGCAGCAGUGGUGCUGGAGUGUGAGGCAAAAUCCACAGCCAACACUGCAGCAAGAGUGAAAAAUACUUGUGUGACUGCUUGUGGCAACUCCAGAUAAAAAUAAAGCAGAGACGCUUCAA